rnacentral:tRNA from 1 species
GCCCCUGUGGUGGAAUUGGUAGACGCGCCGCACUCAAAAUGCGGUUCCUUCGGGAGUGCGAGUUCGAGUCUCGCUGGGGGCACCA